rnacentral:rRNA from 1 species
AGAAUCAACGCUGGCGGCGUGCCUAACACAUGCAAGUCGAACGCGAAAGUCCCGAAAGGGAUAAGUAGAGUGGCAAACGGGUGAGUAACACGUGGGUGACCUGCCUUCGAGCGGGGGAUAACGUCCCGAAAGGGACGCUAAUACCGCAUAACAUCCUGCCUUUUAAGAGGUGGAGAUCAAAGCCGGGGACCGCAAGGCCUGGCACUUGAAGAGAGGCCCGCGUCUGAUUAGCUAGUUGGUGGGUAAUGGCCUACCAAGGCAACGAUCA